UCUUGAAAAGUGUGUGAGAAUUUUGUCUAAGAAAAAUAUUUUCUGAAUUUAAGUAAGAAAAAGUUAUUUACUAUUCAACUUUUGUGACUAUGGACGCUGAAGUCGAAGGCAGUAUUGAAAAUAAUGUACAAUCUGGCGACGAAGUGGCGUCACCAUCUAUAGAUGGUGAAACUCCAUAUAAAGGUGGUGUUGGGCCUUCUCAGGAAAACAAUGCAACCCCUAAUAUAAAUGGAAAUGCGGGACAAGCAACGCCAGAUACAAGCGAAGGCGAAUCUCAAUGGACUCCAAACAAUCAAAGUGCUGCCACUGCUAAACCUUUUAGUAUGCCGCCAUUUGGUGGACCACCCGGAGCUUUUCGUGGUGGACGGGGAGGUAUUCAUAUAAUGCCUUUUGGUCGCGGUGGUGCUCGAGGAGGUGGCGGCAAUUUUGGCGGACGCGGACCGGGAAGCUUUGAUCCGAAUUGGCAGGGACAAAAUCAAAAUGGCCCACCAAAUAUGACAAACGGGCCACCACUCGAGCUGUGGGUGGAGACUAAGACAGAUGAUGGAAAAUCUUAUUUUUAUCAUGCCAUGACACGUGAAACAACAUGGACAAGACCAGAAGGUCAAAAUAUUAAGGUUAUGACUCAAGCAGAAAUUGAGGAAGUGAAUAAAAAACAGCAACCACCUCAACAGCAAUCUCAACAGAAUAACACACAGCAUGCGGAUGCUAAUGUUAAAGGGCCAGAGCCUAGUGGUCACGCUCAAGGUGGCAUGAUAGAUGCGCAAAAGGAGUUACCCCCCAUGUCGGUUGCUCCACCCAUGAAAGCACCAGAUACAUUGACACAACAUCCACCACCAAAUAUGAUGUCACAACCACCACCCACACAACAGACCUUGACGCAGCCACCACCAAAUGUAGUACCAAGCGGUGCGCCACCAAUGACUCAACAGCCUCCACCUUCUAUGCACCAACAGCCACCUCCAUUCUUUCCACCUGGUAUGCAUCCACCGAAUUUCUCGCAAACUCCAUUUGGAAUGCCUCCUCCUGGUUAUGGUGGCUUUCCAGGUGGACCAGCACCUUGGGGUAUGCCCUGGAAUCAGCACAUGCAUCCUCCACACGGUCCGCCGGUGCAAGACAAACCGGCAAAAAAUUUAAUUAUAAAACCUGGUGUAAUUGAUCCUGCUGUAAUUGCACGCGCUGCUGAAUGGUCCGAACAUCGUGCACCUGACGGACGUCCCUAUUACUAUCAUGCCGGUCGCGGCGAGAGUGUUUGGGAGAAACCACAAGCGUUACGCGACAUGGAAGCAGCACGCAUGGCUGCUCAUUCGGGCACAACUCCGCAACAGGCAGUGGCUCCCCAAGUCGCACCCACCAUGCCACCACACAUGAUGCCCAAUCCUGCCCUUAUGCACAUGACGCCGGCAGCCGGCGGUUAUGAACAGGCUAUGGCGUAUAAUGCUGCUGCUGCCGCAGCCGCCGCCGCCGCUGCAGCAGCUGCUGCCAAUCUCAAACCCAUCGAACAAACCAAAGCGGCGCAAGCUGCGGCAUUGGAAAAAGAAUCCAGGAAGGUGGCAGAGGAAAAACGAAAGAAAGAGGAGGAGCAACAAAAGAAAGUUACGGCAACAACAGCAAAACCAGUAGAUAAAUCACGUCCUAUAUCAAGUACUCCGAUCGCUGGUACACCAUGGUGUGUCGUUUGGACAGGUGAUGCGAGGGUUUUUUUCUAUAAUCCUUCCACACGAACAUCUGUUUGGGAAAGACCUGACGAUUUGAUAGACCGUGCCGACGUAGACAAAGCAGUCAACAAUCCGCCGGAACAGUUAAAGGCUGCUGGUAAUGUCGCUGCGGAGAAACAGGUCGAAAAGAUUGAGACAGAGAAGAAAAAAGAGGUUGAAAUUCCCGAGGAAGAGGAAGAAGAAGAGCAAGAAGAUGAUGAAGUCAUCAAAAUACGCACUGAAUCUGAAUCCAGUGUGGAAGAAGUACCAACGAAGAAGUCCCGAUUAUCCGCAAAGCAAACCAGGAAAGCGGAUGCCAACGAAGCAGCCGUGGAAGCUGAGGUACGCGCGGCUAAGGAGCGCGCUGUAGUGCCAUUAGAGACACGUGUCAAACAGUUUAAAGAAAUGUUGCGUGAAAAAGAUGUAUCAGCAUUUAGCACUUGGGAGAAGGAGCUACACAAAAUUGUUUUCGAUCCACGUUAUUUGCUGCUAACCUCCAAGGAGCGCAAACAGGUGUUUGAAAAGUACGUUAAAGAUCGCGCUGAAGAGGAACGCAAGGAGAAGCGCAAUAAGAUGCGUCAAAAGCGCGAAGAUUUUCGCAAGCUUAUGGAAGAUGCAAAGCUGCAUGGAAAGUCCUCAUUCAGUGAGUUUUGUCAGCGUUAUGGCAAAGAUGAUCGGUAUAAAGCUAUCGAAAAGGUGCGCGAACGUGAGAGCCUCUUCAACGAGUAUAUUGUAGAUGUGCGUCGUCAAGAAAAAGAGGAGAAAAUACAAAAAAAGGAACAGGUAUGUGCGUGUUCCCUUAAAUGCAUGCGGGCCGAGAAUGCGUUUGUUAGCACAGUUAAUUUGGGUUUUGGGCCGCAGCAAACGUAUUUCUUAUUUAAAUAUUUAGUAUUUCGUAUUUUUAAAUGAUUAAUUGAAUUUUUCAUACGUCUCUAUUUGUAUAUACACUUAUUAUAUUGUUAAUGCUUCACAGCAAAGUUUAUACUUUUUAUUUUUUAUAAAAAUUUUCUUCACUCUAAUCUUGAUAUCUCAAAACAAAUCAAACAAAAAAAUCUACCACUACUACUUCAACGAUUAUAAAUAUCGGCUAAACUACGCACGAACAACAAAUUGUCAACCAACUACAAAAAAACAUAGUCAAUUGCAACCAAUCAUGUGAUUAUAGGUCAGCUGCUUGAAGUGUGUUUAAAACCAAUACUAUUUUGCUUAGCCGCGUAAAAGUUGGUUGACUUAGAAAAACAGCAAAAUUGCUAAAUAUCGUUUUUAGGCUGCAGUAUAAACGUAAGGAAAACGCAGCAAAUAAUAUGUAGCAGCGUAACGUGUGACUGACUGAUAAUUCAUGGUCAUCCAGCUGCCAACGACCGCAUCAAAUUGCAUUGAUCCGCCAGGCAACCAUGUCCAUCCUGCUACUACCACCCAUCAACCCAGUGACUUGCCUGUUCGUUAGUACCUUCACGCCUGCUCGGCACGUUUUCCCCAAAUUGUUUGUGUCUAUCUAGCUCGAGCUCGUGGAACGUCGGCACGUCGGCACGUCACAUGUUACAUAUUGAAGCUAUUUGGAUGCGCACUGACAAAUGGUGUAUAUUGAUGGAU
rnacentral:misc_RNA from 1 species